rnacentral:tRNA from 1 species
GCCGAAGUGGCGGAAUGGCAGACGCGCUGCGUUCAGGGCGCAGUGUCCGAAAGGGCGUGGGGGUUCAAAUCCCCCCUUCGGCACCA